rnacentral:rRNA from 1 species
CGUGGGGGAGGAAUGUCUGUGGAUUGUAAACCCCUUUUCUCAGGGAAGAAGCUCUGACGGUACCUGAGGAAUCAGCAUCGGCUAACUCCGUGCCAGCAGCCGCGGUAAGACGGAGGAUGCAAGCGUUAUCCGGAAUUAUUGGGCGUAAAGCGUCCGUAGGCGGUUUAUCAAGUCUGCCGUUAAAGACUGCAGCUUAACUGUGGGCGAGCGGUGGAAACUGAUUAACUAGAGUACGGUAGGGGUAGAGGGAAUUCCCAGUGUAGCGGUGAAAUGCGUAGAU